rnacentral:rRNA from 1 species
UACGAGAGGCCCAAACGUUAUUCGGAAUUACUGGGCUUAAAGAGUUCGUAGGCGGCAUGAAAAGUAGGGUGUGAAAGCCCUCGGCUUAACCGAGGAAUUGCGCUCUAAACUGUCGUGCUUGAGGAACCUAGAGGUGAGGAGAACAGAUGGUGGAGCGGUGAAAUGCGUUGAUAUCAUCUGGAAUACCGGAGGCGAAGGCGGCUCACUGGGAGUUUUCUGACGCUGAGGAACGAAAGCCAGGGUAGCGAACGGG